UGUGUUUGCAUGGUAGCGACCGAAGAGGUU
rnacentral:sRNA from 1 species